CAGAUCUUCAGUACAGUGAUAAGGGUUCUACCUCAGACCACAGCAGCCUGUAAAGGUUUGUGACAUGUCUCUGUGGUAUGGCUUGGCUACUAGAGAUUCUGCACCAGAAUCUGUGCCUCUAGCAAUAUUGCCAGUUAUGACAGGCACUUCAUCUUCAGGCUAAGCAACAAGUGUUUCCAGUUACAUGUGCCAGAAGGUACUAUGUGUGGGCUUUUCUCAUCACUGAAUGGUAUGGUUUAUAUGAAUUGAUACUGUUCUCUUUCAUUUUGGCCUGACAGAAUACAGAGGGAAAUAGCAUUGUCUACCUCUCCCUGUGCACACAUACAUGCUGUGCUAAUUCAGUUGGAACCUAUGGAGUGCUCUGAAGGAACAACAUCACAGCUGGACACAUUUUCUGAGGACUGUAAAUUCUUUACUGAGGACUCUAGGGCUGCAACCUUGUUAUUUCUUUACUUCGACUGGAAUAUUCCACUCUACUGACCCUUAAAAGCUUCUUUCCACUUGUCACUCAGCCAGUCACACCUCAAGGCCAAAAAGGUUCCUCAUUCAAGAGCUUUGUCUCAAGUAAUCUCCCUAUUCAAUGACUGAAUGGCAAUGUUGAAAUAGCCCUAGGCAAACGGGCCAUUCCUUUAUUUAAUGGUCAAUCUCCUUAUCUCCCACCUCCCAAAUUAUGAACAUCAUCUUGAUUUCAUACAGGUUGAAAAGAAACAAGUGUUUCCAUAGGAUUUCAGCCUGACUUUUUCCUAGGAAGCUUGAUUUCUUUGAGUGUCAAGCUCCCUUUGAAUAAUGUUUUAAUGGAUCACUAAAAUCUUAUUCUGUUGCUCUGAUAAAUUCAGUAUCUACCAGAGAAAACCGCAAAUCAUUCCACAACAUCUCAGAAAUAUGAGAAUAUUAUUAUGUUACAAUUAAAGAAAUAUUUAACUGAGAAGAUGAAUGUUCAUCUGAAGUCUGAGUCUACCUUCACAAAAUUUAGAUUCCUAAGUCAUCCAUUUUGUCUGUAGUUACUAAUGUGAAAAAAAAAAAUUACUGCUGUCACAAGAGCCCCACUAAUAACUUUACCAUUAAUAUUCUUA
rnacentral:lncRNA from 1 species